UACGGAGGGUGCAAGCGUUGUCCGGAAUCACUGGGCGUAAAGGGCGCGUAGGCGGCUCAUGAAGGCUGUGGUGAAAGUCCGGGGCUCAACCUCGGAUCGGCCGUGGCGACUCGUGGGCUGGAGCACUGUAGAGGCGGGUGGAAUCCGGGUGUAGCGGUGGGAAUGCGUAGAGAUCCGGAAGAACACCAGUGGCGAAGGCGGCCCGCUGGGCAGUGGCUGACGCUGAGGCG
rnacentral:rRNA from 1 species